rnacentral:rRNA from 1 species
AGUAACGGCGAGUGAAGCGGCAACAGCUCAAAUUUGAAAUCUGGCCCUCGGGUCAGAAUUGUAAUUGAAUGUUGAUGAUCGUUGUGAGGUACCUAACGAGUUAACGAAAGCGGGACGCCAUAAAGGGUAAGAAACCCGUCUGGUUGGAAACCGAGAAAAAAAAAAGAUCCUUCGACGAGUCGAGGGGUUUGGGA